rnacentral:rRNA from 1 species
AACGACUCUCGGCAACGGAUAUCUCGGCUCUCGCAUCGAUGAAGAACGCAGCGAAAUGCGAUACUUGGUGUGAAUUGCAGAAUCCCGUGAACCAUCGAGUUUUUGAACGCAAGUUGCGCCCAAAGUCUUUCGACCGAGGGCACGUCUGCCUGGGUGUCACGC